GAUGAACGCUGGCAGAAUGCUUAACACAUGCAAGUCUUGGGCGAAGCUGUGCUUGCCCAGCCUAGCCAAGGCGGACGGGUGGGUAACGCGUAAGGAAUUUGCCUUGUAGUCGGGGAUAACGUCCGGAAACGGGCGCUAAUACCGGAUAAGUCCAGAGGGAGAAAGUUCGGGCUCUUGAAAAGUGACGCUGCAAGAGGGGCCUGGGUCCGAUUAGCUUGUUGGUGGGGUAAAGGCCUACCAAGGCGAUGGUAGGUAGCCGGUCUGAGAGGGAGGACGGCCACACGGGGACUGGGAGACGGACCUUACUCCUAUGGGAGGCAGGAGUAAGGAAUAUUGGACAAUGGGGGCAACCCUGAUCAAGCAAUUCUGUGUGCACGAUGAAGGUUUUCGGAUUGAAAAGUGCUUGCAGCAGGGAAGAAAAAAAUGACGGUACCUGCAGAAGAAGCGACGGCUAAAUACGU
rnacentral:rRNA from 1 species